UUCGUAAGAGGUCCCACUUCGUAAUGAGAUAGCAUUAGCUUGCCCUCGAGGGUUGAAUUGAGGUUGUCCAGGGAAUUAUCCUCCAGGUGUAGUUUGUGGAGCUUGGUUUUGUGCUACCUGUGAGAUCUGGGUUUCAAGCAUCUUGUUGUGAGUGAUUAUUUGAUCAACCUUGGUCCCUAAUUGCGUUAUCAGUUCUUUUACGUGAAUGUUCUGGUUUAGG
rnacentral:lncRNA from 1 species